GACGAACGCUGGCGGCGUGCUUAACACAUGCAAGUCGAACGGUGAACCUCUUCGGAGGGGAUCAGUGGCGAACGGGUGAGUAACACGUGGGCAACCUGCGCCCGGCCCUGGGAUAACUCCAAGAAAUCGGGGCUAAUACCGGACUUUCACCGCUUCCCGCAUGGGUGGUGGUGGAAAGGGUUUCCGGCGGGGGAUGGGCGCGCGGCCUAUCAGCUGGUUGGUGGGGUAGUGGCCUACCACGGCGACGACGGGUAGCCGGCCUGAGAGGGUGACCGGCCCCACUGGGACUGCGACACGGCCCAGACUCCUACGGGAGGCAGCAGUGGGGAAUAUUGCGCAACGGGCGGGAGCCUUACGCGGCGGCGCCGCGUGGGGGAUGACGGCCUUCGGGUUGUAAACCUCUUUCAGCUGGGACGAAGCGCAAGUGACGGUACCUGCAGAAGAAGCACCGGCCAACUACGUG
rnacentral:rRNA from 1 species